rnacentral:rRNA from 1 species
GACGUAGGGUGCAAGCGUUGUCCGGAAUUAUUGGGCGUAAAGAGUUCGUAGGCGGUUACUUAAGUCUGAUGUUAAAUACUGGAGCUCAACUCCAGCAUGGCAUUGGAAACUGGGUGGCUAGAGUGCGGUAGAGGUCUCGGGAAUUCCAGGUGUAGCGGUGAAAUGCGUAGAUAUCUGGAGGAACACCGGUGGCGAAAGCGCGAGGCUGGGCCGUAACUGACGCUGAGGAACGAAAGCCAGGGGAGCGAAAGGG